AGUCGAGCGAUGAUUCGUCUCCUUCGGGAGACGUUGAUUAGCGGCGGACGGGUGAGUAACACGUGGGUAACCUGCCUCAAAGAGGGGAAUAGCCUCCCGAAAGGGAGAUUAAUACCGCAUAAUAUGUUUUAAUCGCAUGAUUAAAAUAUCAAAGGAUUUUCUUCGGAAAUUCCACUUUGAGAUGGACCCGCGGCGCAUUAGCUAGUUGGUGAGGUAACGGCUCACAAAGGCAACGAUGCGUAGCCGACCUGAGAGGGUGAUCGGCCACAUUGGAACUGAGACACGGUCCAGACUCCUACGGGAGGCAGCAGUGGGGAAUAUUGCGCAAUGGGGGAAACCCUGACGCAGCAACGCCGCGUGAAUGAUGAAGGCCUUCGGGUUGUAAAGUUCUGUCUUCUGGGACGAUAAUGACGGUACCAGAGGAGGAAGCCACGGCUAACUACGUGCCAGCAGCCGCGGUAAUACGUAGGUGGCAAGCGUUGUCCGGAUUUACUGGGCGUAAAGGAUGCGUAGGCGGACAUUUAAGUCAGAUGUGAAAUACCCGAGCUUAACUUGGGUGCUGCAUUUGAAACUGGGUGUCUAGAGUGCAGGAGAGGUAAGUGGAAUUCCUAGUGUAGCGGUGAAAUGCGUAGAGAUUAGGAAGAACACCAGUGGCGAAGGCGACUUACUGGACUGUAACUGACGCUGAGGCAUGAAAGCGUGGGGAGCAAACAGGAUUAGAUACCCUGGUAGUCCACGCCGUANACGAUGAAUACUAGGUGUCNGGGGUCGAACCUCGGUGCCGCCGUUAACACAUUAAGUAUUCCGCCUGGGGAGUACGAUCGCAAGAUUAAAACUCAAAGGAAUUGACGGGGG
rnacentral:rRNA from 1 species